GAUGAACGCUAGCGAUAGGCUUAACACAUGCAAGUCGAGGGACCGGCGCACGGGUGCGUAACGCGUAUGCAACUUGCCUCACAGCGGGGGCUAACCCGUCGAAAGACGGACUAAUACCGCGUACUGUGAGAUAGGCAUGCGUCCAAUUAGCUAGUUGGUGAGGUAACGGCGCACCAAGGCAACGAUGGGUAGGGGAACUGAGAGGUUGAGCCCCUCGACUGGUACUGGGAAACGGACCGGACUCAGACGGACGGCAGCAGUGAGGAAUAUUGGUCAAUGGGCGAGGGACUGAACCAUCCAAGUCGCGUGAAGAAUGACUGUCUAUGGAUUGUAAACUUCUUUUGUAGGUGAAUAUGUACCCUACGAAUAAGCAUCGGCUAACUCCGUGCCAGCAGCCGCGGUAAUAC
rnacentral:rRNA from 1 species